CUACGGGAUGCAGCAGUGAGGAAUAUUGCACAAUGGGGGGAACCCUGAUGCAGCAACGCCGCAUGGAGGAUGACGCAUUUCGGUGUGUAAACUCCUUUUAUAUGUCAAGAAAAUGACGGUAGCAUAUGAAUAAGCACCGGCUAACUCCGUGCCAGCAGCCGCGGUAAUAGCGGAGGGUGCAAGCGUUACUCGGAAUCACUGGGCGUAAAGGACGCGUAGGCGGGUUGGAAAGUCAGGUGUGAAAUCCCACAGCUUAACUGUAGAACUGCACUUGAAACUUCAAAUCUAGAGUAUGGGAGGGGGAGAUGGAAUUAGUGGUGCAGGGGUAAAAUCCGUAGAUAUCACUAGGAAUACCUAAAGCGAAGGCGAUCUCCUGGAACAUUACUGACGCUAAGGCGUGAAAGCGUGGGGAGCAAACAGGAUUAGAUACCCGAGUAGUC
rnacentral:rRNA from 1 species